UACGUAGGGUGCAAGCGUUAAUCGGAAUUACUGGGCGUAAAGCGUGCGCAGGCGGUUGUGCAAGACCGAUGUGAAAUCCCCGGGCUUAACCUGGGAAUGGCGAUGGAGACUGCGAGGCUAGAGUUUGGCAGAGGGGGGGUAGAAUUCCACGUGUAGCAGUGAAAUGCGUAGAGAUGUGGAGGAACACCGGUGGCGAAGGCGACCACCUGGACGGAGACUGACGCUGAGGCGCGAGAGCGUGGGGAGCAAACAGG
rnacentral:rRNA from 1 species